UACGGAGGGGGCUAGCGUUGUUCGGAAUUACUGGGCGUAAAGCGUACGUAGGCGGCUUUGUAAGUUAGAGGUGAAAGCCCGGGGCUCAACCCCGGAAUUGCCUUUAAGACUGCAUCGCUUGAAUCCGGGAGAGGUGAGUGGAAUUCCGAGUGUAGAGGUGAAAUUCGUAGAUAUUCGGAAGAACACCAGUGGCGAAGGCGGCUCACUGGACCGGUAUUGACGCUGAGGUGCGAAAGCGUGGGUAGCAAACAGG
rnacentral:rRNA from 1 species